UAGGACAAAGAGAUANAAAUUAUNAAUANNANAUAAAGUUUUAUCCCUGGGCUCCAGGCCAAACGCUGGCCGGGUGAUUUAAAAACAUCCCAAUUUGGGANAAAAGGCCCCUUUCCGGGGUACUACGAGUGGAGUGGGGUUGAGUAANCUUGUGGGUAAUCCGCCCCUGCUUUUUGGUAUAACCUGGAAACCGGGGUCUANACCNAAAAAGNCCCCCCUUUUUCNUUGNUGUGUGGGGAAAAGUUUUUNCCGGUAAGAAAUUGGCCCCNCGGCCUAUCAGCUUGUGGUUGGGGUAUUGGCCUACCCAGGCGGGGGACGGGUAUCCCGGCCAAAAAGGGUGUGGGGGCCUNUUGCAAAAGGGUUUUUNANAA
rnacentral:rRNA from 1 species